rnacentral:rRNA from 1 species
CACGUAGGGUGCGAGCGUUGUCCGGAAUUAUUGGGCGUAAAGAGCUCGUAGGCGGCUUGUCGCGUCGACUGUGAAAUCCCGCGGCUCAACUGCGGGUCUGCAGUCGAUACGGGCAGGCUAGAGUUCGGUAGGGGAGACUGGAAUUCCUGGUGUAGCGGUGAAAUGCGCAGAUAUCGGGAGGAACACCUAUGGCGAAGGCAGCUCGCUGGGACGUUACUGACGCUGAGACGCGAAAGCGUGGGGAGCGAACAGG